rnacentral:SRP_RNA from 1 species
GCCGGGCAUGGUGGUGCAUGUCUGUAGUCCCAGCUACUCGGGAGGCUGAGGCAGAAGAAUCGCUUGAACCUGGGAGGCAGAGGUUGCAGUGAGCUGAGAUCGCACCACUGCACUCCAGCCUGGGUGACAGAGCGAGACUCUGUCUCAA